GGUGUAGGUGGCUUGGUAAGUCAGGUGUGAAAGCCCAGGGCUUAACCCUGGAAGUGCAUUUGAUACUGCUGAGCUUGAGUGUAGGAGAGGUUACUAGAAUUCUUGGUGUAGUGGUGAAAUACGUAGAUAUCAAGAGGAAUACCGGAGGCGAAGGCGGGUAACUGGCCUAACACUGACACUCAGACCCGAAAGCGUGGGGAUCAAACA
rnacentral:rRNA from 1 species